AGUGGUUUGUGAAGCUUAUGUAUUCUCCUUGUUGGAGGAAAUUGAAUUUAGACAGGACAGGAGUGCUACUGGUGGGUAUUUCUGCCAGCCAGAACUUUUAAAAAAUUAUGCUUUUAGAAGCAAACACACCCCUCUUCAAAGCACGUGAUGGAGUUUUGACAUGCUCCUGAACAUGCAUUGGGUUGCUCACUUCACAGUUGUAGCUGGUAUGACCUCUCUCUCCACAGACAAAGGAUCUUGCCAGUGUCAUGUAUGUUACGAGUAUAUGUUCAGUUUAACUACCAUCAUGGGUGGCCUGGCCAACAGACAAAAUUGUUAUGUUGGCCACUAUCCUAUGUGGCUGCCUGUAACCCUCUAGACUCAGAAGGCUGUGGGCAUCCAAGUGAGUGUGCAGGAAUGGAGAGCCAAGGAUUGCUUCCAUGCUGCAAAACGCAGGCAGCUGCUUUGGGCUGUCUGUGCCUCUUCCCUCUGCUUUUGAGGAGGAGGGGCCAAGGCAGUGGCUGGGUAUUCAUUGAAUGGUGCCACCUUGCUCCUCCCCUCCCUGGCACCUGCCCAACACCAGCUCCCAAGAGGGUCUUCCAUCUCCAGACCCACAGCAGGCAUGGAAAGAAUCCUGGCCAUAAGGGCAGAGGGAGGCCCUUCAAGGACAGGGGCCAUGCUAUAGCCUUGGAGGGCUUUUCUGAGGUCACAAUGGAGACUCCAGCUUUACCUAUGACUUUUGAAACAGCCUCUAGUGCCAUAGGAUUGCACCCUAGAUGUGCUGUUAUUACAACUGUACUGCCAGGAAUGGCAAGAGGUGCUUGUGGGGUUGUCUGCCUCAGGGGCUGAGGUAACUCUGGCUCACUGCGCAGCUCGACGUGGAUGGCCAAGUGGAGUGUGCCAUUUGCUGCACUGAGGCUGGCCCUAACAGGAUGCACUUUACAUGGAGCUGUCCUUGACCUCCAUUCUGAUAUUCCACCUAGUCCUGAAUGCACCAGUGCUAUUUUUCUUAGGUACAGACAGUCCCUGGGUUACAGCUGAGUUCUGUUACUGAGAACAUCCUUAAAUCAAUUUUUAUGGAAAUGUAAGUUGGAUCACAUGAGGAAGCCAAAUGAUUAUCUUAGUAUUUACCUUUCUAUGCAUAUAGAACACUUAAGAAACACUUCCAUAUUCACUUAAACACCUUAAACAGAACACAUGUUAAUGAUAGUAAUACAGUAAUAAUAAAGUAACUACAGUUACUGGAGAGAGAAUCUGUAUAUAUGAGUGUAGUUAUUCAGUACUGUAAAAAAGCCCAGUUCUUAAAACAGUUUAGAAUAUUCUUGAAGUAUUAUUAAGCCUAACAUUACCUGAUGAU